AUCGUCCUCAUCCUCAUCAUCUUCUUCUUUCACAUCCAUUCCCAUCUCUUCGUCAUCUUCGUUUGUAUCAUAUCUCUGCAUCUCUGAUGCCAUUCCAGCUUUCUUCCACUUCUUUUACUCGAGUUUUACAAACCUCAGAUAUAGAUGACAUUGCUUACACUUACCAUGCUUCAGCAUAAUAAUUGGACUAAAGUAUUCCAGAAGACAUUUUUGAUAUGAUUAGUGAAGCUUGGUUCUUCAGCUCCCUGAUUUCAACAAAAGAAACCGGUCUAUCUAAUUGUUGUAAGACAUGCACCGAAGCCGACGGUUAUCG
rnacentral:misc_RNA from 1 species